rnacentral:rRNA from 1 species
UGGGGAAUUGUUCGCAAUGGGCGAAAGCCUGACGACGCAACGCCGCGUGGAGGAUGAAGAAUUUCGGUUCGUAAACUCCUUUCGACCGAGAUGAAUACCCAUGGGUUUAAUACGCCUGUGGGCUGACAGUAUCGAGAGAAGAAGCCCCGGCUAACUCUGUGCCAGCAGCCGCGGUAAUACAGGGGGGGCAAGCGUUGUUCGGAAUUACUGGGCGUAAAGGGUUCGUAGGUGGCCACUUAAGUCAGACGUGAAAUCCCUCAGCUUAACUGGGGAACUGCGUCUGAUACUGAGUGGCUUGAGUGCAGGAGAGGAAUGCGGAAUUCCAGGUGUAGCGGUGAAAUGCGUAGAUAUCUGGAGGAACACCGGUGGCGAAGGCGGCAUUCUGGACUGUAACUGACACUGAGGAACGAAAGCCAGGGGAGCAAACGG